AUCCUUUCGGAGUUCAUAAGCGUGAUGAUUGGGUGUUCACGCUGCUGUGUGAGAUGUGCCGCCCAUGAACCUUGUUACGCUUCUGGCACAUAACCCGUCUGACG
rnacentral:snoRNA from 1 species